GGCUACUCCCACAUAUAUGUUUUUCUUCUCUUUCGAUAUAUCCCUUAGAAAAGCAGACACAAGAAAAAGUAACAGAGAAACGAUCCAUCACAAGACCAAUUCAAUCAGGUUCAGGGUUAUUUCCAUCGGCUGUGCUGGAUUUGAUUGUUCUAGCUUGCGCCUGCAAAUAAUAUAAGCCCGUGAUAUCUACUGGGGAUAAAUUGGGAGGAAGGUAACAACAAGUUUUUUCACAACAGGAGUCAGACACCUAUAUGUUGAUGACGGUUCUUUGUGAUAUAAUUGGAAAGCACUGUAUCAGUUUCACAGUCAAUACGGAGGUAAUUUUCGUACCUUUUUCUUAAAUUUUUCUAUUUUGUACUUAUGGAGUUGUAAUCUUUUAGAAUCUUGAUCUUUUAUGUUUUUUCUUUUACGUCAUUGCUCUCAGGAGAGGUUUGAGGCUAAUAAAUUUGUUUUCUCUUCUUAGUUCUCUAUUUCACGCAUUUUUAUUUAAAAAAUGACAUUUCUUAGAGUGAAUGUUUAAGCUAGAUAUAGGGAUUAAUAUCGAUACCUUUAUUUUACGUAUCAACUACAAAAAUUUAUGUAUUUUUUCCCCCUUAUUCAUGUCCGAAUAUACUAGUGUAAAUGAGUUUUUUCAUAUUUGA